AAUGGGGGCAACCCUGAUCCAGCAAUGCCGCGUGAGUGAUGAAGGCCUUAGGGUUGUAAAGCUCUUUCGCCCGAGACGAUGAUGACGGUAUCGGGAGAAGAAGCCCCGGCUAAUUCCGUGCCAGCAGCCGCGGUAAUACGGAAGGGGCUAGCGUUGUUCGGAAUUACUGGGCGUAAAGCGCGCGUAGGCGGCUUGGCAAGUGAGGCGUGAAAGGCCUGGGCUCAACCCGGGAACGGCGCUUCAGACUGUCUGGCUCGAGUUCGGGAGAGGGUGGUGGAAUUCCCAGUGUAGAGGUGAAAUUCGUAGAUAUUGGGAGGAACACCGGUGGCGAAGGCGGCCACCUGGCCCGCAACUGACGCUAAAGUGCGAAAGCGUGGGGAGCGAA
rnacentral:rRNA from 1 species